rnacentral:rRNA from 1 species
UUGGUUAAGUUAGAAAGGGCGCACGGUGGAUGCCUUGGCACUAGGAGCCGAAGAAGGACGGGACUAACACCGAUAUGCUUUGGGGAGCUGUACGUAAGCGUUGAUCCAGAGAUUUCCGAAUGGGGGAACCCACUAUCUUUAGUCGGAUAGUAUCCUUACGUGAAUACAUAGCGUGAGGAAGGCAGACCCAGGGAACUGAAACAUCUAAGUACCUGGAGGAAGAGAAAGAAAAAUCGAUUUCCUGAGUAGCGGCGAGCGAAACGGAAAGAGCCCAAACCAAGAAGCUUGCUUCUUGGGGUUGUAGGACACUCUAUACGGAGUUACAAAAGAAAGUUAUAAAUGAAGCGGUCUGGAAAGGCCCGCCAAAGACGGUAACAGCCCGGUAGUUGAAAUAGCUUUCCCUCCAGAGUGGAUCCUGAGUACGGCGGAACACGUGAAAUUCCGUCGGAAUCCGGGAGGACCAUCUCCCAAGGCUAAAUACUCCCUAGUGACCGAUAGUGAACCAGUACCGUGAGGGAAAGGUGAAAAGCACCCCGGAAGGGGAGUGAAACAGUUCCUGAAACCGUGUGCCUACAAGUAGUUAGAGCCCGUUAAUGGGUGAUAGCGUGCCUUUUGUAGAAUGAACCGGCGAGUUACGAUUUGUUGCAAGGUUAAGCGGAAAAAGCGGAGCCGUAGCGAAAGCGAGUCUGAAUAGGGCGCAUAAGUAACAGGUCGUAGACCCGAAACCAGGUGAUCUACCCAUGUCCAGGAUGAAGGUAAGGUAAUACUUACUGGAGGUCCGAACCCACGCACGUUGAAAAGUGCGGGGAUGAGGUGUGGGUAGCGGAGAAAUUCCAAUCGAACUUGGAGAUAGCUGGUUCUCUCCGAAAUAGCUUUAGGGCUAGCCUCGAGGUAAAGAGUCAUGGAGGUAGAGCACUGUUUGGACUAGGGGCCCUUCUCGGGUUACCGAAUUCAGAUAAACUCCGAAUGCCAUGUACUUAUACUCGGGAGUCAGACUGCGAGUGAUAAGAUCCGUAGUCGAAAGGGAAACAGCCCAGACCACCAGUUAAGGUCCCCAAAUAUAUGUUAAGUGGAAAAGGAUGUGGGGUUGCUUAGACAACCAGGAUGUUGGCUUAGAAGCAGCCACCAUUGAAAGAGUGCGUAAUAGCUCACUGGUCGAGUGACCCCGCGCCGAAAAUGUACCGGGGCUAAACAUAUUACCGAAACUGUGGAUGAACCUCUUUGGAGGUUCGUGGUAGGAGAGCGUUCUAAGGGCGGUGAAGUCAGACCGGAAGGACUGGUGGAGCGCUUAGAAGUGAGAAUGCCGGUAUGAGUAGCGAAAGAAGGGUGAGAAUCCCUUCCACCGAAUAUCUAAGGUUUCCUGAGGAAGGCUCGUCCGCUCAGGGUUAGUCGGGACCUAAGCCGAGGCCGAUAGGCGUAGGCGAUGGACAACAGGUAGAGAUUCCUGUACCAGUGCUAAUUGUUUAACCGAUGGGGUGACACAGAAGGAUAGGGAAUCGCACGAAUGGAAAUGUGCGUCCAAGCAGUGAGUGUGAGAAGUAGGCAAA